AGCGCUGCGCUUCGUCGUUGCAUAAUUAUUUUAAUUGAAAAUAGCUGUUAAAAGUUGUGUAUUGUAUCAAUGAAGGUUGUGUAUGUGUUAAAAGUUGUGCGAUGGGUGACCGAGGCAGAAAAUUAGUGCAACUAGCCUGCAGUAACAGGCUAGAAACAGUGGGAUCAGGUGGUUCUAAUAACAGAUUUUCUAUGACGGGACCUAGUGUUUCAACGGCAAACGAAAACAUAAGAUGUUACCUGCAAAACAAUAAUGAUGACAAUGACUCCUCCGAUCUUGAUGAAUAGCAAAUUGAUAUCGCCGCCCAAAUGCACAAUAUUGUCACCGAUGAUAAUAUUACGGCAGACUCAAAUGAUGAAAGUAAUUUAUUUGGCAGUGACUAUUCGGAUGAAGAUCCCACUUACGUGCCAGAUCCUAAGGACUAUUCGCCAAAGCAAAUAGAUUCCGACUCUGAUUUUAUUCCUGAAAGUCCGAAUGCUUUCUCCAAACAGGAAGACUUUUUUAUGGUGCUGAUUGAUGAAGUUUUAGAUCGAGUUUGGAUUUCUGUAGAAGGUGACUAUUCAGCAGCAGCUUAUGUUCAAGAUUCAGAUUCAGAAAACGAUACACCUCAGCAAAAUGAUUCCGGCCAUGAUAUUAUUAUUCCUGAAACUCCCAGCCCAUGCAAACAGCAGAAACGUUCCUUGUCGAUAUUUAACAACGUUUGUAGUUCUGGAGAAGGUGAAUGCA